GCGGUGGUUAAGUUGUUAGAGCGUCCGCCUCGGAUGCAGGAGGCUGCGGGUUUGAAUUCCGGCCGAACCA